GUCACUCCAUCUGAAGUUCAACCCUCUGACCUCAACACCUCUGACAUUACCCCUCCAAACACUUCCGCUGAACCUCCAACUCUCAACCUAAGCCCGCCCAACUCUCCACCUCAACCAUCUGAACCAGAACAUUCCCUGCCAACCCUAGAGGAAGCAAUUAUGUUGUUUGCAGGAGCAUCAGUUUAAAAGGUCAAGUCUCUG
rnacentral:lncRNA from 1 species